UACGUAGGGUGCGAGCGUUGUCCGGAAUUAUUGGGCGUAAAGAGCUCGUAGGCGGUCUGUCGCGUCGGCUGUGAAAACCUGAGGCUCAACCUCAGGCCUGCAGUCGAUACGGGCAGACUAGAGUUCGGUAGGGGAGACUGGAAUUCCUGGUGUAGCGGUGAAAUGCGCAGAUAUCAGGAGGAACACCGGUGGCGAAGGCGGGUCUCUGGGCCGAAACUGACGCUGAGGAGCGAAAGCGUGGGGAGCGAACAAG
rnacentral:rRNA from 1 species